ACCCACAAACUUCGGAAGACAAACGACCCAACAGCCCAGUCAUUGGCAUCUUCUUUGUCCACAAGACAGUUACUGAGGAUCUGCCGACGUCUUUCACAGUACCCAGAGGAAAGCAUUUCUCAGGCUGUAAACAAAGCCUGCCUCUCCAGGUUUUUGCCUAGCCUUGCGAGACCUGCUUUGCAGAAGAACUUUCUGGAUACUGGAAUUGAGGACAGCUCUGUUGUGUCAAAUCAGGAAGAAAAGGAAAAGUUGAAGAAAAGGAAAAGAAAAGUUGUGAAAUAAAAGAUGGAACACUGAAGAUUGGAAAGGUCUCUGUUCCUGUCUAUAAUCCAGAUGAGAAGAUGAAAGUUCCUGACAUCCUGUUUUAUGAAAAUGCUCAGGGCGUUGGGAAGAACAAGAUAGUUGACAGAUUUCUGCAGCUCAUGAACAGGCCGAGGGAGUACCUGCAUCUUCACAGAGACACCACAGUGCAGACCCUCACUCUGCAGCCCUCUGUUCGGGAUGGUAUUAUCAUCUAUGAGGAUUCCCCACUGGCCAGUUUGAAUUGUUCCUAUUUACGUUGUAAAUCUAAUCAUGUUAAGCCUCCUCUGUUAAGCCCGGCUGAUUGGGACACCUUCUCGGGGAGGAAGGUCCAGUGACAGUAGCAAUCUAUCAGUACCUGCACUAGCACAGCUGUGUGUAUUGGUUUAACAUCAGGAUUAUAUUCAAUUGCAGGGAUGCUCCCCUAACCUGAGCAUUGUAGGACUAAAAUCUUGUUCUUCCUGAAAAGUGCUUUGACUAGCUGUCCCCAGGGCCCAACACCUCAUCAUUGUAUCUAUAACCCACUAUAUGCUGAAUUCAUGUUUUUCAGUUUAAUCUGAUAGCAGUAUGGAAGCACCACAGCAGAUGUUUGAUAGAUGUAUUUCUCUGUUGUCUAGUGGGGUUAGUCACAAUGCAUGUUCAGUGAGCCUGGGUAUUGGAAGCUUUUAUUAUUACUCUUUCUCACAGCCUACUCAUUUGAAAUGCUGGCUCCUUCCUUGACUCUUGAAUCAGUAGCCAGAUUAAACUGUUACGUUAUUAUUGAUGUGCUUAAAAGCUAUACAAGGAAAUCAGUAAGAUAUGAUUAAGUUAUCUUUAAAAAAACAUACAGCAGGAUCUGUUUGUUGCAACAGCCAGUUCAUUCAUCACAGAUACAGUAUACAGUAUGACAUUUUAUAUAAAUAUAUAUAUAAAAGACAGUGCCUGUAGGAAGUAUU